CACAUGAACAAUUUUUUAAAAGGCCGCAGUGCACUUGGAUAAGCAUUGACAUUCCGAAGCUGCCCUGUUCAGUCAAAGAUAGAAAUGGAAAACUUUCAAGAAGGGGAAGAUGAUGCUGUGGUUCUCUGACAAUGACGUGGAGGUUCUGGUCAAGGGAGUGGUGCAAAGGGGAGUGGUCGUGAUGAUGUGGAGAAAUCGCCAACAGUGCCAUAUAAAGUUCAAUGACUUACUCCAUUCCAUCAAAGAAAGGAACCAGGCAGGUGAAGGGGUGCCUGACUUUUGAAUCCUCAGGCCUGAGGACAGGAGAAGACCAGGAUCGCUGCAACAGGGAGACAUCCAUCUUCUGCCAUCCAAUACUGCUAGCAUAUCCACCUUGUGGUGAAAUGGCCAGCUCCCUCAGAAGCCAUCUCCCCGACCUCUGAGAACAUGACUGCCGAGGACUCAGAAGCAGCAUCUGCAAUACUGACUCCUGCAAGUUGCAUAAGCUCAGAUUCUGUCAACUUGGUGGGAAUGUUAGCGUUGGGAGGUGUGAGACCACUGUGACUGCCCCACAACAUUCUGGCUGCUCGGACUCACAGGGUUGUCAGAGACUAGGUAGCUGCUCAGCCCAGGCAGGAGAAGACCCUGUGGCAUCAGCAAUUAGAGAACCAAAGAAUGAGCCAGAGAAACAGUGAAGCACAGGCGAGGCCAGGGAAAGUGGGAGAGAUGAUCAACAGAAAAGCAAAGAAAGCAAGAAAAAGAGGAGAACCUGAAGUACAAAGAAAAAGGAAGUGCAAGAAUCAAAGAGAGAAGGAACCAGAUAAUUAAGAUCAAGAAUG